GCUGCGGGAUGUCUGCAAAGCUCUCCGCAGCUGCAAUCCCAGGAGUCCCAGGAGAUGAGGCCAAGAUCCAGCAGCAGAAGCAAGGAGGAGAACUCUGAACAUGCAGGCCUCCCACUGAGCCAGGCCAAGGAGAUGGAUCAUCACACCAAUCCUGGUCUUACGAGUGACACAGACCUGA